CCUAUUCCUUUCGGGCUCGGGCCAAACGCCUCCGAUAUGAACCGGUAUGCUUUCGGCCUUGGCAAGAGAUACGACGCCAACGCCUUCUCAUUCGGUCUCGGCAAACGCGGCGACAACAGCGCCCUCUCGCCGGCGGACGACUACAGCGACGAGCAGAAACGCGUGGACGCCAACAGCUUCGCGUUUGGUCUCGGCAAGAGGCGGUGAAGCGGCGCGCAGUAAUACACGGCGCGUCGGUGGUGCCGUUGCCAGGCGAUCGCGGCCAUUUUGUACAAACACCCUUCUUCACACGAAAUCGCGACACCGGUAUAUGUGACCAUUAUAAUAAGGAGCAGAUCCGCUAAGAGAUGUACGCUCGCAUGCAAAACGAGAAGAAUUUCCUUCGCAUUUGACGCGGCGCGGUAAAACGACGUAGGAAUCGUGUUCAUUUCCGACGCGGAAUGAUUCUAAUUUUCGGGAUGGAAAGACGGCCGACCGCCGAACGAGUGUGGAUAGCAGAUGAGCCAUGCAUGUUCUUCGACGAAUUGUGAAAGAAUAUAUCUAUGUGUGUUAGCUGCGGUUCUAUUGCCAUUACAGAUGUUUUCACUUUCGCGUCAACUCUGCAAGAAAAAUAAAAUGUCACAAAAAGACCGGCGCAGAAACGUCAGACGCAGUUUCGCAUAUUUAAUUACCGCGAUUGUGAGUUCAUAAUAUUUAAAUUGCAAUUACCGAGUAGAUGUUUGCCUUCUGGAUGGAACUGUUUGAAUAAUAAAAUGAAAAAAAUAACGUUUUGCACGGGGAA